rnacentral:lncRNA from 1 species
UGCGCAUGCCUGUUUUCAUGUGUUGUGCUGAUAGGUGACUGACACCAAGUUUCCUUUCUCAUGUUUCAGGAGCUGUUGGCCAGACACUGCUGGAUACUGACAGCAGAAAGCUGACUCGGAGACAAGCAGCCAGAGAUGUUUGGACACAUCAUCACUUUGAAUCUGGCAUCUGAGUGAGUGUCCUUGCUUCAUGAGGCUUCAGAUUUGAGCCCAGGCUGGUAAUCUGCUGUC